rnacentral:rRNA from 1 species
AAACCAACAGGGAUUACCUCAGUAACGGCGAGUGAAGCGGUAACAGCUCAAAUUUGAAAUCUGGGUCUUUCAGGCUCCGAGUUGUAAUUUGUAGAAGAUGCUUCGGGUGCGGCUCCGGUCUAAGUUCCUUGGAACAGGACGUCAUAGAGGGUGAGAAUCCCGUAUGUGAUCGGUUGCUUGCGCCCAUGUGAAGCUCUUUCGACGAGUCGAGUUGUUUGGGAAUGCAGCUCAAAAUGGGUGGUAAAUUUCAUCUAAAGCUAAAUAUUGGCCAGAGACCGAUAGCGCACAAGUAGAGUGAUCGAAAGAUGAAAAGCACUUUGGAAAGAGAGUUAAACAGUACGUGAAAUUGUUGAAAGGGAAGCGCUUGCAACCAGACUUGCACGUUGCUGAUCAUCCGGGGUUCUCCCCGGUGCACUCGGCCUCGCUCAGGCCAGCAUCGGUUUUGGUGGUGGGAUAAAGGCCUUGGGAAUGUAGCUCCUUUCGGGGAGUGUUAUAGCCCUCGGUGCAAUGCCGCCUACCGGGACCGAGGACCGCGCUUCGGCUAGGAUGCUGGCGUAAUGGUUGUAAGCGAC